rnacentral:misc_RNA from 1 species
GAUGAAGAACGCAGCGAAAUGCGAUAAGUAAUGUGAAUUGCAGAAUUCAGUGAAUCAUCGAAUCUUUGAACGCAUCUUGCGCUCCUUGGUAUUCUGAGGAGCAUGCCUGUUUGAGUGUCAUUAAAUUCUCAACUACACUGACUUUGAAUUGGUGUGGCUUGGAUUUGGGGGGAAAAUUGUUGUGGGCUUUUUGUAUAGUCUGCUCCCCUGAAAUUGAUUAGCGGUACCUUUGUGGAACUGUCUACAGGUGUGAUAAUUAUCUACAUCUUAGACAUCUGCUGGAAUGCUGCUUUCUAAACCUUACUUGUAUUGACAAUCUCGACCUCAAAUCAGGUAGGACUACCCGCUGAACUUAAGCAUAUCAAUAAGCGGAAGA